GGGAUAGUCCCAUGAUCCUAGGAGAGGGCAGACGUGAGCCAGCCUGAAGAAAUGUCAUCAGAGUCCCAGAAUAAACUGCAAAAUCCCUGAGGUUCCAAAAAAUCUGCAGGAUGUUUCAGGCCUGCCUAGACAUUUUAGAGAGAGCCCCUGUGAGGCCCAGGAAGAAGGGAGGCAGUGAGGUCAAGAGCCUGGCAAUCUUUCAUUGACACCCUCGUCUGGGGUCUCAGCGACAAUUUCCUGCGGCUUGGCAGAGAAAGAGACCUCUGUGGAGGUGCGUCAGUGGUGGACUCUCACCUGUUGGAUGCAGGGGAUAGUCCCAUCAUCCUAGGUGAGCGCAGACGUGAGCCAGCCUGAAGAAACGGCAGCCAUAGCCUCAGGAAUAAACCGCAAUAUCCCUAAUGAUCCAAAAAGAUCUGCAGGAUUUCUCAGGCCUGCCUACACAUCGUAGCGCCCUUGCCAGAACGGUGGUGCAGUGAUGUAUUACCUGCCAACAGCACAAUGUGAGGCAGGGUCCAGCCGUUCUGCCCAGCAUACAACUUGAGGGAGCAGCCCCUUUUGAAGACCUCCAGGUGGACUUCACAGGAAUGCCAAAGUGUGGAGUGAUCAUGUGUGGAUCAAGGACUGGAAUGUAGCCCACCCACAACUACGGUGGGAAGGACCCCAGACCAUCAUUUUGACGACUCUCACAGCAUGAAAAUAGAAGGAUUCCCAGCCUGGAUCAAUCACAGUCAUGUAUCAUCUACAUUGUCUGAGACCUGAGAGGUGAGACUGAGCCUGGUGGACCCCUGCAAAGUGACAUUGAGAAAGAUGGCAAGCCCUGCUACAGUCACAACCAGAAGCUUACUGUUGUAUGCAUGGCAAAAGAAUGAGGAUACUCAUCAUGGGAUUUAUUCUCCUUAAAAUUUGUACUUCUAUAAUAAAGACUGAUUUUUCCUGCAUGGAGGACUGUUC
rnacentral:lncRNA from 1 species